rnacentral:lncRNA from 1 species
UCAAUUUGUAAAACUAUUAAAGGUUGAGGGUUAUGCCAUGAAUGUUCUUGAAUGUUUUUUUUAUAUUAAUUGAUAGAUUAUGAAUCCUUGUUGAGAAAUAAACAAGUUUUGUUAAGUGAUUUUUAUAAAAUUGCAUUUAGGGAUUUAUUUGUAAAAUUAGUAAGAUUUAAUGAUAAAAUUAUGAAAUGUUGGUUUUAAUGAAUUGGUAUAGGUCCCUAUGAAAUUCGGCUAGCUUGAAUAGAGGAUUAAAGUGGUUACAUUUCAAAUUACAAGCUUAAGGACUAAAUUAUGAAAAGUUAAAAUGAUAGGAUAAAUUGGUAAUUUUGCAUAAGUAUGAAAUGUGGAGUAAAUUGAAUACUAGAAGUGUUUAAUUGAUUGCAAUUAUCCAUUUUUAUCAAGAUAAACUACGUUUAGACUUAGAUUGGGGAAAAGUUAAAGGUUUGGAUUAGUUUAUCUAACUUCUUUGCCCCUAACUGUCGAGGUAAGUUCAUAUGAACGGCUAUUGUGUUAAUGAUAUUUAAAUUGAAUGUUUACUAUGUUAUGUUUAAUGAAAAUGAUUUAUAUAUAUAAAUGUAUCAAUGCUAUGAUCAAUUGACAGAUAUUAAGUUCCAGUUGAACUUUAGGAAUUCGUAGGAUACAAAUGGCAUGUCAUUAGUUAUUUCAUGUUUUAGAUACUGGUCUAGAAUGUCCUAUCGAUGGCUGAGGUCUUGCGUUUGUUGCGGAUUCUCC